rnacentral:rRNA from 1 species
UGGGGAAUAUUGGACAAUGGGCGCAAGCCUGAUCCAGCCAUGCCGCGUGAGUGAUGACGGCCCUAGGGUUGUAAAGCUCUUUCAGUGGUGAAGAUAAUGACGGUAACCACAGAAGAAGCCCCGGCUAACUCCGUGCCAGCAGCCGCGGUAAUACGGAGGGGGCAAGCGUUGUUCGGAAUUACUGGGCGUAAAGCGCGCGUAGGCGGGUCUUUAAGUCAGAGGUGAAAUCCUGGAGCUCAACUCCAGAACUGCCUUUGAUACUGGAGAUCUUGAGUCCGGAAGAGGUUAGUGGAAUUCCCAGUGUAGAGGUGAAAUUCGUAGAUAUUGGGAAGAACACCAGUGGCGAAGGCGGCUAACUGGUCCGGUACUGACGCUGAGGUGCGAAAGCGUGGGGAGCAAACAGGAUUAGAUACCCCCGUAGUCC